rnacentral:rRNA from 1 species
CCUACGGGAGGCAGCAGUGGGGAAUAUUGGGCAAUGGGCGCAAGCCUGACCCAGCAACGCCGCGUGAAGGAAGAAGGCUUUCGGGUUGUAAACUUCUUUUCUCAGGGACGAAGCAAGUGACGGUACCUGAGGAAUAAGCCACGGCUAACUACGUGCCAGCCGCCGCGGUAAUACAUAGGUUGCAAGCGUUAUCCGGAUUUACUGGGUGUAAAGGGCGUGUAGGCGGGGACGGAAAUCAGAUGUGAAAACCACGGGCUCAACCUGUGGCCUGCAUUUGAAACUGUGUUUCUUGAGGACUGGAGAGGCAGACGGAAUGCCUAGGGUAGCGGUGAAAUGCGUAGAUAUUAGGAGGAACACCAGUGGCGAAGGCGGUCUGCUGGACAGCAACUGACGCUGAGGCGCGAAAGCGUGGGUAGCAAACAGGAUUAGAUACCCCUGUAGUC